CCUACGGGAGGCAGCAGUGGGGAAUAUUGGACAAUGGGCGCAAGCCUGAUCCAGCCAUACCGCGUGUGUGAAGAAGGCCUUCGGGUUGUAAAGCACUUUAAGCAGGGAGAAAAAGUUAUAAGUUAAUACCUUAUAACCGUGAUGUUACCUGCAGAAUAAGCACCGGCUAAUUCCGUGCCAGCAGCCGCGGUAAUACGGAAGGUGCAAGCGUUAAUCGGAAUUACUGGGCGUAAAGCGCGCGUAGGUGGUUUGUUAAGUUGGAUGUGAAAGCCCUGGGCUCAACCUAGGAACCGCAUCCAAAACUAACUCACUAGAGUACGAUAGAGGGAGGUAGAAUUCAUAGUGUAGCGGUGGAAUGCGUAGAUAUUAUGAAGAAUACCAGUGGCGAAGGCGGCCUCCUGGAUCUGUACUGACACUGAGGUGCGAAAGCGUGGGUAGCGAACGGGAUUAGAUACCCUGGUAGUCCACGCCGUAAACGAUGACAACUAGCUGUUGGAAGACAACGUCUUUCAGUGGCGCAGCUAACGUUUUAAGUUGUCCGCCUGGGGAGUACGGCCGCAAGGCUAAAACUCAAAUGAAUUGACGG
rnacentral:rRNA from 1 species